rnacentral:misc_RNA from 1 species
GAUGAAGAACGUAGCGAAUUGCGAUAAGUAAUGUGAAUUGCAGAUUUUCAGUGAAUCAUCGAAUCUUUGAACGCACAUUGCGCCCGCCAGUAUUCUGGCGGGCAUGCCUGUCUGAGCGUCAUUUCAACCCUCAUGCCCCUAGGGCGUGGUGUUGGGGAUCGGCCAAAGCCCGCGAGGGACGGCCGGCCCCUAAAUCUAGUGGCGGACCCGUCGUGGCCUCCUCUGCGAAGUAGUGAUAUUCCGCAUCGGAGAGCGAUGAGCCCCUGCCGUUAAACCCCCAACUUUCCAAGGUUGACCUCAGAUCAGGUAGGAAUACCCGCUGAACUUAAGCAUAUCAAUAAGCGGAGGA